rnacentral:rRNA from 1 species
CAGUCGCCACGGUAAUACGAAGGGGGCUAGCGUUGUUCGGAAUUACUGGGCGUAAAGCGCACGUAGGCGGAUAUUUAAGUCAGGGGUGAAAUCCCAGAGCUCAACUCUGGAACUGCCUUUGAUACUGGGUAUCUUGAGUAUGGAAGAGGUUAGUGGAAUUGCGAGUGUAGAGGUGAAAUUCGUAGAUAUUCGCAGGAACAUCAGUGGCGAAGGCGGCCAUCUGGGACAACACUGACGCUGAGGCACGAAAGCGUGGGGAGCAAACAGGAUUAGAUACCCGCGUAGUCCCUGUCUCUUAUAC